UGGGAGGAGAGAGGAGGAGGGGAGAGGAGGAGAAGGGGAGAGGAGAGAGGGGAGAGAGAGAGAGGAGAGAAAGGAGAGAGGAGGAUGGGAGGAGAGAGGGAGGAGAGAAAGUGGACAGGACAGGGAGAGGAAAGGGGGGGGGGGAAGAGGAAGGGAGGCGAGUUUCGUUAUGUUCAUAAACAUAUCACAAGACCAAACACCCAAUCAGAUAUACUGUAGAGAACCAAACACCCAAUCAGAUAUACUGUAGAGAACCAAACACCCAAUCAGAUAUACUGUAGAGAACCAAACACCCAAUCAGAUAUACUGUAGAGAACCAAACACCCAAUCAGAUAUACUGUAGAGAACCAAACACCCAAUCAGAUAUACUGUAGAGAACCAAACAGAACCAGGUCUCCUCACCUGUCCAUUACUGUUCUCCAGGUGUCCUCACCUGUCCAUUACUGUUCUCCAGGUGUCCUCACCUGUCCAUUACUGUUCUCCAGGUCUCCUCACCUGUCCAUUACUGUUCUCCAGGUGUCCUCACCUGUCCAUUACUGUUCUCCAGGUGUCCUCACCUGUCCAUUACUGUUCUCCAGGUGUCCUCACCUGUCCAUUACUGUUCUCCAGGUGUCCUCACCUGUCCAUUACUGUUCUCCAGGUGUCCUCACCUGUCCAUUACUGUUCUCCAGGUCUCCUCACCUGUCCAUUACUGUUCUCCAGGUC